AAGUCGUAACAAGGUCUCCGUAGGUGAACCUGCGGAGGGAUCAUUAACACGUUUCCGAACGUUUUAUCUACAACCAACCGCGUGAAACAAUUGAAUCAAAAACAACCGACCUAAAAGAGAGAGAAUUCUGUCUAGAAUGCACGGAGUGAUGAGUGUGUGUGCGAGCAAUUGCAUGCAUGCGGUGUAUCUAGGCUGGUACUGCUGUUUUAUUGUGUGCGCAAGCGUGCAGUGAAAUAGACUAUACAAGACCUCUUUCUUUCAGGCUUUUAACCCAGUUCCCUUCAUCGCUGGAACGCAAACACCCCUUUCACCACUUAUAAACAACUAGACUGAUAUGUUCUUAUGCUUAGCGAAAGCUUUGUAUGAAACAACAAAUAAUCAAAUAUCUAAGCACAACUCUUAGCAACGGAUAUCUUGGUUCUC
rnacentral:misc_RNA from 1 species